GAGCACUGUCUUUGAACCUUUUUGGUCUCCAUUAAUGACCUUUUUGGCCAAGCUACAGUGCUAGAGUAAAGGCUUGUUCAUAACUGGGGCAUUCUGGCAGCACACCCAGACUGCUCUUUAAAAGCAUGUCACACUU